AGAGUUUGAUCAUGGCUCAGAUUGAACGCUGGCGGCAGGCCUAACACAUGCAAGUCGAGCGGUAGCACAGAGAGCUUGCUCUCGGGUGACGAGCGGCGGACGGGUGAGUAAUGUCUGGGAAACUGCCUGAUGGAGGGGGAUAACUACUGGAAACGGUAGCUAAUACCGCAUAACGUCGCAAGACCAAAGUGGGGGACCUUCGGGCCUCAUGCCAUCAGAUGUGCCCAGAUGGGAUUAGCUAGUAGGUGGGGUAACGGCUCACCUAGGCGACGAUCCCUAGCUGGUCUGAGAGGAUGACCAGCCACACUGGAACUGAGACACGGUCCAGACUCCUACGGGAGGCAGCAGUGGGGAAUAUUGCACAAUGGGCGCAAGCCUGAUGCAGCCAUGCCGCGUGUGUGAAGAAGGCCUUCGGGUUGUAAAGCACUUUCAGCGGGGAGGAAGGCGUUAAGGUUAAUAACCUCAUCGAUUGACGUUACCCGCAGAAGAAGCACCGGCUAACUCCGUGCCAGCAGCCGCGGUAAUACGGAGGGUGCAAGCGUUAAUCGGAAUUACUGGGCGUAAAGCGCACGCAGGCGGUCUGUCAAGUCGGAUGUGAAAUCCCCGGGCUCAACCUGGGAACUGCAUUCGAAACUGGCAGGCUAGAGUCUUGUAGAGGGGGGUAGAAUUCCAGGUGUAGCGGUGAAAUGCGUAGAGAUCUGGAGGAAUACCGGUGGCGAAGGCGGCCCCCUGGACAAAGACUGACGCUCAGGUGCGAAAGCGUGGGGAGCAAACAGGAUUAGAUACCCUGGUAGUCCACGCCGUAAACGAUGUCGAUUUGGAGGUUGUGCCCUUGAGGCGUGGCUUCCGGAGCUAACGCGUUAAAUCGACCGCCUGGGGAGUACGGCCGCAAGGUUAAAACUCAAAUGAAUUGACGGGGGCCCGCACAAGCGGUGGAGCAUGUGGUUUAAUUCGAUGCAACGCGAAGAACCUUACCUGGUCUUGACAUCCACAGAACUUAGCAGAGAUGCUUUGGUGCCUUCGGGAACUGUGAGACAGGUGCUGCAUGGCUGUCGUCAGCUCGUGUUGUGAAAUGUUGGGUUAAGUCCCGCAACGAGCGCAACCCUUAUCCUUUGUUGCCAGCGGUCCGGCCGGGAACUCAAAGGAGACUGCCAGUGAUAAACUGGAGGAAGGUGGGGAUGACGUCAAGUCAUC
rnacentral:rRNA from 1 species